rnacentral:rRNA from 1 species
CCUACGGGGGGCAGCAGUGAGGAAUAUUGGUCAAUGGGCGCAGGCCUGAACCAGCCAAGUCGCGUGAGGGAAGACUGCCCUAUGGGUUGUAAACCUCUUUUAUAAGGGAAGAAUAAUGACUACGUGUAGUCAGAUGCCCGUACCUUAUGAAUAAGCAUCGGCUAACUCGGUGCCAGCAGCCGCGGUAAUACGGAGGAUGCGAGCGUUAUCCGGGUUUAUUGGGUUAAAAGGGUGCGUAGGGGGUAUUUUAAGUUAGUGGUAAAGCGUCGGGGCUUCACCUGGAUUGGCCAUUAAAACUGGGGUACUAGAGUGCAGACGGGGUAGGCGGAAUAAGUGAAGUAGCGGUGAAAUGCUUAGAUAUAACUUAGAACCCCGAUAGCGAAGGCAGCUUACCAGACUGUUACUGACGCUGAGGCACGAGAGCGUGGGUAGCGAACAGGAUUAGAUACCCUGGUAGUC